ensembl:lncRNA
GAGGAAUCUGUCUUACAGGAAGAGGAAUCUGUCUUACAGGAGGAGGAAGCUGUCAUACAGGGGGAGGAAGCUGUCAUACAGGGGGAGGAAGCUGUCAUACAGGAGAAGGAAGUGGUCAUACAGGAGAAGGAAGUGGUCUUACAGGAGGACGAAGUUGUCUUGCAGGAGGAGGAAGCUGUCCUACAGGAAGAGGAAUCUGUCUUACAGGAGGAGGAAGUGGUCCUACAGGUGGAGGUUGUGGUCGUCCAUGAAGAGGAAAUGGUCGUACAGAAGAAGAAAGUGGUCCUACAGGUGGUGGCAGUGAUCGUAAAGGAUGAGGAAGUAGUCCAACAGAAAGAGGAAGGAGUUAUAAUGGAGGAGACAGGGGUCCUACGGGAGAAGGAAGUAGUCGUAAAGGAAGAGGAAGUGGUUUUACAGGAGGAGAAAUUCGUUCUAGAGGUGGACGUAGUUGUCGUUCAGGAAGCGGCAGUUGUCAGAGGAGGAACCAGUGCAGCUUGAGACUCCUCUAGUCUUUAAUAAAUAAUGUAUUUUUGAUAAAGCAGAGUGUGUAUUUAUAUAUAACUCUGACUUACUUGUCCUGCACAAUAAUCUAACAUGUUAUUUAUUUACAGGUACCUUUAUUUACGGGUACCUGUGCAAAUAAAUCACAUAAUAUUGCUUUUCAUUAAGGAUCAUACCUGCAGCCAACAUAUUGUAUUCCAUCAUUUUAUACUGCUGACUCAACUG